rnacentral:lncRNA from 1 species
GAAGAAAUAGAAUGUUGUUCUUUUUUAAAAAAUUUACUGGUUUUUAUGUUUUACCUUUCUUUACAUUUUUUUGUCUUUAAUUUCUCCUUUUCUUUCCCAUCACCACUCAAUUCCCCUUCUUGCUGUCCUCUUAACCACCUCUUGGCUUCCUUAUUCCCAGUUCGUUAUUUUUCUUUUCCGUGUUUAGGUUUGGUCUUUGUCUACACAAUACCAAACAUCUGGAUCUAUAGUAAAAACGUGCUGUCAAAUACUCAGAUGUUUGGAAAUAUCUGGGUAUUUUGGCACUUAACAGCAGCAACAGCUGGAUAAUGGAAUUAAUUUUUCACUUUUCAGUCAUCUCUUGACAUGGGAUGGACAGAGUCUUAUCAGCCACAAUCUAAACACGGGCCAUUAUCUGCUAGCAAUUCUUUUAUCCUCUCACAUGGGAAAUUAUUUCUGUCAAUCACUUUAUUGUCAAAGAAAAGAGGAAGGAAUGUGUGUCUUCCUGGGCCCGCAGUACAUCCGCCCUCUCUGCCUCAGCUCUUUUCUUACUGAAAGAGCUCCCAGGAACUGACAAUUUCUUUAGCCUUUCCCACCCCAGAGGCAAGGAGAAAGAACAAGGCAUAUGAAACAGUUUUCUCCAUUGAAGUCUGGAGAAUUUGACAAGAACUUGUUUCUUAUUAGAAACGCUCUGUCUGGUUUGAGAUCUUGUUUUCCCCUCAUUCUCUCCUAUAGUCUUUGUUGCUCUAUUUAUAACAGCAAACAAAAUAACGGCAAUUUAUUAUUCCUGUCCACUGCUGUCCACAAAGGGCCGGCGUUAUCUGUUGGUGUUUUUCUCAGGUAGCUCAGACUAACACUGCUGCGCCCCACUGGGGCCUUCGGUGGAGGGACGCUCUCCCGAGACUGCCGCAGACAGCGAGGUGUCAUCAUUAUCGCCGGUUACGUCCGACAGCCUCCGAGUGACUUCCAAGGUCCCGUGGCCGCGAUCCCACCUGCGGCGUCCGCGUCCGCCCGCUCUCCCUGAGGUCUGCACCCUGAGAGGAGGGGCGAGCGAGCCAACUUGGGGCAGGGAUCACCGUGUCCACAGGCGCCCACUGGUGUGGCGUCCUGAGAGUGCGUGCGUGAGCGAGCGAGCGGCUUAUCCUAGACUGAAGACCCAGGGAAACAGAUCUGUGUGGAGGAUGUUUCUGUUUUCAGCAGAACAGACGCAGCCCCCGAGUCAGUGCCGUCAGAAGACACGUCAGUCAAUUCAGUGGAAAACACUUCCAGUGUGAGGCGUUCGCCGGCGCCCCUUAGACGCGGCCGGGUCUGAGGCGCCUGCCGAGCGAGGUGGCGCGGCCCGGGAGCUGUGG